CGUUCUUUGAGGGGACAGGACACAUUAAACUUUGAGGAAGUAGUGUCUUGUUCAGUGUUCACGGUUUAUAUUGCUGAAGGACAAUUACAAGUCUAAACGGAGAAGAGUCGUCAUUUCAAGGUGUUUUCGCGGACGUAUUGGCAUGUGGAUGUUGACAGUGUCGGAAGUAUUAAUCAAAGUUGACACGAGAAGUUGGAGCGAAUGCGAGAAGAGCAUGCGAUGAGCUGCCUGCCUGCUGCUGCCUACUGCCUACUCCUGCUGCUGCCGCUGCUGCUGUUGCAUCCAAGUAAGUUUGGCUGCUAAAAUGUUUUGAUAUUCACUGAACAGACAUGCAAUUGCCUGCAUAGUCCUUUCUUAUUUGAAAGAUGAAUCCCUGUCGCUUGCAAGAUACACAAUCUCAUGCCCAUCGUGCAUAGCUAAUUCAUUGCAUUGGGGAGAGGUGGACGCCGGAUGUAAACAAACUGAGAGGGGGUGUCACGUUGAGUAGCUUUGCAGAUGUAGGCAAAGAGAUUGGCACAUUACUAACGGUGUUGGACUACCAUAAAUUGUUGGGUAGCCAGCCACCCAUGCAUGUUGACACAGCCAGCAGCAGGCACCCAUGGCACAUGGGGAUGGACCCAGGAGUGGAGGAUGACCCAAUAGGAUGAACGUUCAGCCCACUCACUGUUGACACCAGUGACACAGUAUUGACCAGAUCUCCUGGAAGUGCCCCCUGACGCAGACCCAGUUGUUGGGUAGCCACCCAUGCACGUUGACACAGCCAGCACCGAGCACCCAGGGGGAUGGAACCAGGAAUGGAGGAUGGUCCAAUAGGGUAGCAUCAUGAAGGCAGUUUACCCCUGAAACUUUUUACAAAGGACCAUCAUCGUCAGAGAAGUUCCUUUAACCCUUUAUCUCCCAUAGCGGCCGUGAACGCCCGGCCACCUCUCUCCCAUAACGCCCGCCGACACCCGGAGUAUUUUCAUAGCUGAACAGAAGUCAUCAUGCAGUUUCUACAGCUUUCACUUUAGAUCACUAUUACAGACUCUCAAUAUAUUUUUAUUAUAAAAACUAUUUUGGGAAAUCCUGAACUACAGUGCAAAGUGGCUGAGCUCAAAAGUACGGGCUCGCUGCUGCUGCCCAGUAGAAAAUAUCUUUUAAAUGCAGUACAGUUCCUAAUUGUGCGUUCAUGUGGUAAUUACGUAAAUACCAAACACUGACAUCCAAAGCACACAUGAACGCCACUGGCCCUUGUAGAAAAUUUCGAUUAAUGAAUGCACUAUCUCUCUUCUCCACAAGCUCUCCCCUCAUCUAAUCUCUUCAUUUUGCUAGUCCUCAUCUCUCUUUCUUCAUUGUGUUACUGUUUAAGCUGAUAACUGUUACUUUUAAAAAUUAAAUAGUUAAAGAUA